rnacentral:rRNA from 1 species
GGUUAAGUUAAUAAGGGCGCACGGUGGAUGCCUUGGCACUAGGAGCCGACGAAGGACGUGACAAACGACGAUAUGCCUUGGGUAGCUGUAAGUAAGCGAUGAUCCAGGGAUUUCCGAAUGGGGGAACCCAACAGGUAGUACCUGUUACCCACAUCUGUCAAGGAUGUGAGGAGGAAGACGCAGUGAACUGAAACAUCUAAGUAGCUGCAGGAAGAGAAAGCAAAAGCGAUUGCCUUAGUAGCGGCGAGCGAAACGGCAGGAGGGCAAACCGAAGAGUUUACUCUUCGGGGUUGUAGGACUGCAAUGUGGACUCAAAGAUUAUAGAAGAAUGAUUUGGGAAGAUCAGCCAAAGAGAGUAAUAGCCUCGUAUUUAAAAUAGUCUUUGUACCUAGCAGUAUCCUGAGUACGGCGGGACACGUGAAAUCCCGUCGGAAUCUGGGAGGACCAUCUCCCAACCCUAAAUACUCCCUAGUGACCGAUAGUGAACCAGUACCGUGAGGGAAAGGUGAAAAGCACCCCGGGAGGGGAGUGAAAUAGAACCUGAAACCGUGUGCCUACAACAAGUUCGAGCCCGUUAAUGGGUGAGAGCGUGCCUUUUGUAGAAUGAACCGGCGAGUUACGUUAUGAUGCGAGGUUAAGUUGAAGAGACGGAGCCGUAGGGAAACCGAGUCUGAAUAGGGCGCCUUAGUAUCAUGACGUAGACCCGAAACCAUGUGACCUACCCAUGAGCAGGUUGAAGGUGCGGUAAGACGCACUGGAGGACCGAACCAGGGCACGUUGAAAAGUGCUUGGAUGACUUGUGGGUAGCGGAGAAAUUCCAAACGAACUUGGAGAUAGCUGGUUCUCUCCGAAAUAGCUUUAGGGCUAGCGUCGACAUUAGAGAUUCUUGGAGGUAGAGCACUGUUUGGGUGAGGGGUCCAUCCCGGAUUACCAAUCUCAGAUAAACUCCGAAUGCCAAUGAAUUAUGGUCGGCAGUCAGACUGCGAGUGCUAAGAUCCGUAGUCGAAAGGGAAACAGCCCAGACCACCAGCUAAGGUCCCAAAAUAAUUGUUAAGUGGAAAAGGAUGUGGGGUUGCACAGACAACUAGGAUGUUAGCUUAGAAGCAGCUAUUCAUUCAAAGAGUGCGUAAUAGCUCACUAGUCGAGUGACCCUGCGCCGAAAAUGUACCGGGGCUAAAACAAUUUACCGAAGCUGUGGAUACCUUUAUAGGUAUGGUAGGAGAGCGUUCUAUGUGUGAUGAAGGUAUACCGUGAGGAGUGCUGGAACGCAUAGAAGUGAGAAUGCCGGUAUGAGUAGCGAAAGACAGGUGAGAAUCCUGUCCACCGUAAGACUAAGGUUUCCAGGGGAAGGCUCGUCCGCCCUGGGUUAGUCGGGACCUAAGGAGAGACCGAAAGGUGUAUCCGAUGGACAACAGGUUGAUAUUCCUGUACUAGAGUAUGUAGUGAUGGAGGGACGCAGUAGGCUAACUAAAGCAGACGAUUGGAAGAGUCUGUCUAAGCAGUGAGGUGUGAAUUGAGUCAAAUGCUUAAUUCUAUAACAUUGAGCUGUGAUGGGGAGCGAAGUUUAGUAGCGAAGUUAGUGACGUCACACUGCCAAGAAAAGCUUCUAGCGUUUAAACAUACUCUACCCGUACCGCAAACCGACACAGGUAGUCGAGGCGAGUAGCCUCAGGUGAGCGAGAGAACUCUCGUUAAGGAACUCGGCAAAAUGACCCCGUAACUUCGGGAGAAGGGGUGCUGACUUUAAGUCAGCCGCAGUGAAUAGGCCCAAGCAACUGUUUAUCAAAAACACAGCUCUCUGCUAAAUCGUAAGAUGAUGUAUAGGGGGUGACGCCUGCCCGGUGCUGGAAGGUUAAGAGGAGUGCUUAGCGUAAGCGAAGGUAUGAAUUGAAGCCCCAGUAAACGGCGGCCGUAACUAUAACGGUCCUAAGGUAGCGAAAUUCCUUGUCGGGUAAGUUCCGACCCGCACGAAAGGCGUAAUGAUUUGGGCACUGUCUCAACGAGAGACUCGGUGAAAUUUUAGUACCUGUGAAGAUGCAGGUUACCCGCGACAGGACGGAAAGACCCCAUGGAGCUUUACUGCAGUUUGAUAUUGAGUGUCUGUACCACAUGUACAGGAUAGGUAGGAGUCUAAGAGAUCGGGACGCCAGUUUCGAAGGAGACGCUGUUGGGAUACUACCCUUGUGUUAUGGCCACUCUAACCCAGAUAGGUGAUCCCUAUCGGAGACAGUGUCUGACGGGCAGUUUGACUGGGGCGGUCGCCUCCUAAAAGGUAACGGAGGCGCCCAAAGGUUCCCUCAGAAUGGUUGGAAAUCAUUCGCAGAGUGUAAAGGUAUAAGGGAGCUUGACUGCGAGAGCUACAACUCGAGCAGGGACGAAAGUCGGGCUUAGUGAUCCGGUGGUUCCGUAUGGAAGGGCCAUCGCUCAACGGAUAAAAGCUACCCUGGGGAUAACAGGCUUAUCUCCCCCAAGAGUUCACAUCGACGGGGAGGUUUGGCACCUCGAUGUCGGCUCGUCGCAUCCUGGGGCUGUAGUCGGUCCCAAGGGUUGGGCUGUUCGCCCAUUAAAGCGGCACGCGAGCUGGGUUCAGAACGUCGUGAGACAGUUCGGUCCCUAUCCGUCGCGGGCGUAGGAAAUUUGAGAGGAUCUGCUCCUAGUACGAGAGGACCAGAGUGGACUUACCGCUGGUGUACCAGUUGUCUUGCCAAAGGCAUCGCUGGGUAGCUAUGUAGGGAAGGGAUAAACGCUGAAAGCAUCUAAGUGUGAAACCCACCUCAAGAUGAGAUUUCCCAUGAUUAUAUAUCAGUAAGAGCCCUGAGAGAUGAUCAGGUAGAUAGGUUAGAAGUGGAAGUGUGGCGACACAUGUAGCGGACUAAUACUAAUAGCUCGAGGACUUAUCCAA